CAGCCUGGAACACAGGAACACUGAGGAAUGGUCCUAGCAAAGAUACCCAGAGGACAAUAACAAAUGUCUCUGAUGAAGUCUCCAGUGAGGAAGGUCCUGAAACAGGAUACUCAUUACGUCGUCAUGUGGACAGGACUUCUGAAGGUGUUCUUCGGAAUAGAAAGUCACACCAUUAUAAGAAACAUUACCCUAAUGAGGUAUAUACUUUGUCCUUAAGUGUAUACAUACAUAUCUAUGUUAUAUGUUACUAAUUUAUAACUUCUUUCAACAAUUAAAAGUUGUUGAAAUAAAUAUUUCACAUUAUU
rnacentral:sRNA from 1 species